ACCAUAAAACAAAGCCUCACCUUGCCCUAGAGUCCCCAUCUGGGGCUGGGCAGCAUCCUAUAGAGGCCCUGUGGCAGGGCACAGUUUGUGCCUGCCACUUUAAGGGCUGGAAGGGCUGGAAGCAGCUUCACAGUUGGGAGGUGCCUGAUUAGGGCAGCCAUUUUAGAUUCAGGGCUGCCCAUAUAAACAGGGCAUUUUGCUGCUGGGAGGCCAGGCAACAACAUUGCCUGGCUGUAGCACUGCUGGUAUCAUCUGGAGCUGUUGAGAUCCUGACAUCUUCUUCCACAUGAUCUGGCAUUGAGGACUUGGAGUUUGGACCAUGAUUUGUGUGGAAUCUCCCAGGCUGCUCACCAUGGGUGACCCUGCCAAGACUGUGAGACUCUAGGCAACAGCUCUGAGGAUCAUUGGGAUGCACAAGCCUCUCCAGGAGACCUCCACUACAAGGUCUUUGUCCAUGGAGAGGACUCUGUCAACUUGCCAGGGAUGCAAGUGAACCUCACUGGUCUCUAGUUCUCAGUAUCACUUCUCAGGAUCAUCUAUUUUGAAGAUCGGUAGUAUGUUGGCAAGCCUCCAGUCCUCUUGCACAGAAGCUGUUUAUAAUUGUAGGUUAUAUACUGUAACUGUAGGUUAUAUACUAUUGCUAGCAGUUCUGUAAUUUCACCUUCAGGACUCUCAGGUAAAUGCCAUCUAAAACUUCUUUUGUUACUUCUAUUGCAAAAAUUACUCAUAUUCUAAUAAGGAAGAAGUGAUGCAUAGUGAAAAAUAAAAUGAGAAAUAAAAAAUAAAAUGAAACAAUAAAAUGUGUAAUGAAAAAUCUACUAUGCUGUAAAGUAGUAUCUUUUAUAUUCCAGAUUCAUUCAUGGUUUUUCUAUCGGUGAGGACCUUCAUAAGAUUUAUGGAUUCUUAGAUGUGUUUUGUUUAAGGACAAAUCAUCACAGGAAAAUAGGAUUUUUUAUAUAUACACUUCUAACUUUCAUAUAAAGGCAGGCAAAAGGAAAAUAUAUACUAGGGCAAAAUUUGACUUGAAGGGCCAGCUUACUUGCCUCAGCACAAGGGAAACUAAUCUAAUAUCAAAAACAGGUUUGUGACAGAGAUGAUACCCAUUUCUUCCUUCUGAUUUGAUAUGCCAUAUGCUCAGGUGCUAAAUGCAUAUAAAGCUGUGGUAUUUGAGAGUAGCCAUACUAUGAUACUGUUCAUCAUUGUGAGGA